rnacentral:rRNA from 1 species
GGGGAAGUAUUGCACAAUGGCGGCAAGCCUGAUGCAGCCAUGCCGCGUGUAUGAAGAAGGCCUCGGGUUGUAAAGUACUUUCAGCGAGGAGGAAGGCAUUAAGGUUAAUAACCUUAGUGAUUGACGUUACUCGCAGAAGAAGCACCGGCUAACUCCGUGCCAGCAGCCGCGGUAAUACGGAGGGUGCAAGCGUUAAUCGGAAUUACUGGGCGUAAAGCGCACGCAGGCGGUCUGUCAAGUCGGAUGUGAAAUCCCCGGGCUCAACCUGGGAACUGCAUUCGAAACUGACAGGCUAGAGUCUUGUAGAGGGGGUAGAAUUCCAGGUGUAGCGGUGAAAUUGCGUAGAGAUCUGGAGGAAUACCGGUGGCGAAGGCGGCCCCCUGGACAAAGACUGACGCUCAGGUGCGAAAGCGUGGGAGCAAACA